GCCCCGGUGGCUCAAUCGGCAGAGCAGCCGUCUCGUAAGCGGCAGGGUGGCGGUUCAAAUCCGCCCCGGGGCU
rnacentral:tRNA from 1 species